rfam:Cavia porcellus supercont2_20 genomic scaffold, whole genome shotgun sequence.
GGGGAUUUAGCUCAGCGGCAUAAGCGCCUGCCUUGCAAGCAGGCGGUUGUGAGUUCGAUCCCCG